rnacentral:rRNA from 1 species
AUUGAACGCUGGCGGCAGGCCUAACACAUGCAAGUCGAGCGGUAGAGAGAAGCUUGCUUCUCUUGAGAGCGGCGGACGGGUGAGUAAAGCCUAGGAAUCUGCCUGGUAGUGGGGGAUAACGUUCGGAAACGGACGCUAAUACCGCAUACGUCCUACGGGAGAAAGCAGGGGAUCUUCGGGCCUUGCGCUAUCAGAUGAGCCUAGGUCGGAUUAGCUAGUUGGUGAGGUAAUGGCUCACCAAGGCGACGAUCCGUAACUGGUCUGAGAGGAUGAUCAGUCACACUGGAACUGAGACACGGUCUAGACUCCUACGGGAGGCAGCAGUGGGGAAUAUUGGACAAUGGGCGAAAGCCUGAUCCAGCCAUGCCGCGUGUGUGAAGAAGGUCUUCGGAUUGUAAAGCACUUUAAGUUGGGAGGAAGGGCAUUAACCUAAUACGUUAGUGUUUUGACGUUACCGACAGAAUAAGCACCGGCUAACUCUGUGCCAGCAGCCGCAGUAA